ACGCGUUAAGUAAACCGCCUCGGGGAGUACGGUCGCAAGAUUAAAACUCAAAUGAAUUGACGGGGGCCCGCACAAGCGGUGGAGCAUGUGGUUUAAUUCGAUGCAACGCGAAAAACCUUACCUACUCUUGACAUCCUUAGAACUUUCCAGAGAUGGAUUGGUGCCUUCGGGAACUCUGAGACAGGUGGUGCAUGGCUGUCGU
rnacentral:rRNA from 1 species